ACAUCUGUAAAUAUCAAACAUUUUAUUUUUAAUCAUUUUUGAAAUUUCUAAAAAUUGAAAAAUUUAAAAUAAUUCAAAUCUGUCACUAACGGGCUUAUAGUGAUAUAACUGUUACUAUAGGUGUUCUUCUUCAAAUUCAGAACUUCAUAAUCGGUUCUCAAGUCAGCUAGUUUGGCCGGCUAUAACUUUCAAACAUCGGAAUCAUAAUUAAAUGAUUUAAACAUUAAACAAUUCCAUUAUCAUUAAUA
rnacentral:lncRNA from 1 species